UCCCGUACACCAAAAUGCACAGGCUGUGAACUCGAAGAGUAGGGCGGGACACGUGGUAUCCUGUCUGAAUAUGGGGGGACCAUCCUCCAAGGCUAAAUACUCCUGACUGACCGAUAGUGAACCAGUACCGUGAGGGAAAGGCGAAAAGAACCCCGGCGAGGGGAGUGAAAAAGAACCUGAAACCGUGUACGUACAAGCAGUGGGAGCACCUUCGGGUGUGACUGCGUACCUUUUGUAUAAUGGGUCAGCGACUUAUAUUCUGUAGCAAGGUUAACCGUAUAGGGGAGCCGCAGGGAAACCGAGUCUUAACUGGGCGUUAAGUUGCAGGGUAUAGACCCGAAACCCGGUGAUCUAGCCAUGGGCAGGUUGAAGGUUGGGUAACACUAACUGGAGGACCGAACCGACUAAUGUUGAAAAAUUAGCGGAUGACUUGUGGCUGGGGGUGAAAGGCCAAUCAAACCGGGAGAUAGCUGGUUCUCCCCGAAAGCU
rnacentral:rRNA from 1 species